UAGCCUACUGGGGAGCAGCGAAAAGAGAAUGGGAUUCAGAGUCAGAAGACCCAGAUUAUCUAUAGCUAUGAUUGAAUUCUGACUUAGAGUAAUGAUUGCCAAAAGGAAGAACUUGCAAAGGGUGCUAUUUUAGAAAAAUAAGGAUUCAGGAUGAGUACCUGAAAAUGGAGCUCAACUCAUCAUGUUUGAAGCCUGGGACCACCACUUCAUGCGAAUACAGUAUCGUUGAAUGAGGACACAGUCAUAGGCUCAACCUCCAUGUAAAGGUAGGACACCCAGUAAACCAGAUUGAACAAGCAGAAGGCAGUGGGGAAGAAGAUCCGCGCAUAGGAGUCCAUCUUGGCAAUACGGAUAUGUAUCCUCCCAUGUCUCCAAGCUCCUGUUCGGCAAUCUUCGAAACAGCAGAAAAAACUGGCACAGUCCUUGCCGUCCAGACACUCAUACCCAUAUUCUUCAUCUCUCUCUUGAAGGGUGCCAUACUCCACCAAAGCAGAGAAGACAAAGAUGAAGCAAACAGAUACGAAGAGGUCCAUUGCCGUGACAUAGGAGACCUUGGGGAGCGACUUCCGGGCAAUGGUGCUGAGGGUAGUCAUGGUCAGGACGGUGGUAAUGCCUGGAGGAAGACACAAUAAAACAGAUCGUGUGACCACAUCAGCAGGUUGGAAAACUGUGUCACUAA